UAUUUUGAGAAGGACCUGUAGUUCCUCUCAAGAAGCUGCCUUCAGCCAAGGAAAUGGUGGACAUUCUGGCACGUGAGGUUUUUGGCCUUCAUGACAUACCCACAGACAUUGUCUCAGACAGAGGGCCCCAGUUUGUGUCACGUUUCUGGAAAGAGUUUUGUUCCUUGCUGGGGAUUACUGUUAGUUUGUCUUCAGGAUUUCACCCACAGUCGGAUGGACAGACUGAGAGGGCCAACUAGGAGGUGGAGACCAAACUUCGUGCACUAUGUGAGUCAGAGGCAACUAAAUGGUCUCAAAAUUUACCCUGGGUUGAAUAUGCUGUCAACACCCUCCCGGCUAGUGCCACGGGGUUAUCCCCUUUCCAAGUUGUGUUUGGUUUUCAGCCACCCUUGUUCACAGUCCAAGAGAAAGAAGCUGAGGUUCCUUCUGCUCAGGCCGUGGCCCUAAGAUGUCAGCACACCUGGACGAAGGCAAGAAGAUUUAUUAUCAGAAUGUCGGAGGUGCAGGCACGCACAGCAAAUUGUCGGAGAAUCCCUGCUCCAAGCUACCAGGUGGGACAGAAGGUUUGGCUGUUCACCAAGGACCUCCCUGUUCUGGUUGACUCCCGUAAGCUGGCACCUCAUUUUGUGGGACCCUUUCCCAUAUCCAAGAUCAUCAAUCCUAUGGCUGUUUGUUUACAUCUGAAUCGUGCCAUGAAAGUUUACCGUACCUUCCACGUGUCCCGGAUCAAGCCCUAUGUAUUGUCCCGUCUCGGGCCUACCUCCGGGCCCCUCCACCCGCCCGGCUUCUUGUUGAUGGCCCAGUCUACACUGUCCAGCACAUCAUCUGGUCCAGACAGCAGGGACGUGGCAGACGUUAUCUGGUGGACUUGGAAGGGCUAUGGUCCUGAAGAGAGGACCUGGAUUCCUGCAUGAUUCAUCGUGGACAAAACCCUCAUCCGGGAUUUCCACCACCUCCAUCCUGAUCAGCCUCGGGGUCCUUCCGGAGCCAGACAUUGAGGAGGGGGUACUGUUAUGAUUCUGGCCCGUCUGCCUGCUUUGCUCUCACUCAUGCAAUCAACUCAUCUGCUUCACCUGUCUGCUGCUGCGCAAUCACUGUCAUGCCACACACCUGUGGAGCUGCAGUUAUAUACAGCCAUCUGACAGGCAUCUGCCAGAUUUUCGAAAAUGUUUGUGAGUAGUUAUCCAGCGUUCCUUCCUGACUGAUCUUGUUCUCUGACCUUGCCGUGCCUCAUGGAUUUUGCCUUCUUGCCUGCCCCUUGUCUGACGGAUUGGAUUUCUGGAUUUCAACUCUGUUUUCUGCCUCUGGUUUUCUGCCUCUGCCUGCCCCUUGUCUGACGCAUCUAGCCCUGGAAUUCAACCCUGUUUCUGUCCCUGGAUUUACACCUCAGCCUAACCACUGGUUUAUUCAGCCUGAACCUGCCUGCCUGGCUCUCUAGUCCACCUGGAAUUAUUGUCAAGAGGACAAUCACAGCUCUCUGUGUUCCUGUCACAACUUUAGCUGAUUCCUCGGAGGAUUUGGAUCAGUCGGCAAUCCGACUGCAGUCUGUUGGACGCUUCCUCAUAUACUGUCUGGAUCACUUCCUCCUCUGGAUUCGGUGCCUCAUCCCCAGACUGAGAAGUUGUGAUAACAGUGGGGUUCUGGAGACCACGGUGGAGCUCUGGAGACUUGGGACCACGCUGGGGAACUGGAAACUUGGGACCAAGGUGGGGCCAUGGAGACUUGGCCAGAACACAGGUGAACCCACGAUGGAGCCCUGGAGAACCGUCGUGGAACCCUCAGAGGAGCCCUGUAGAACGCCGUUGAAGCUUUAUAUAUGUUUUGUGAUUUCCUCACAUUUCCUGGCUUCUGUCCUCUCACAUUCUUCUCUCAUAACAGUUAGUAAUCACUCUGCCAGUACUUAUACCUGCCAGGUUUCCCUGGACAUUCUCAAUGACUCCUGUUUUGUUCCUAUUCCCUUGCUUGUUCAUUUUUGCUGUAGUGGUUUUUUUGGGCUCCCGUUCUGCAUGUCAACUUCAUUAAUGAAGCUUCUUAAACAUGGUAUUUGUGAGUCUGCCUUUGGUUCGUACUUAACCUCCUUUUUUAAAAUACACACACCUCACCUUUAGCUUUGGUUAAACACCAGAAUCAGAAAGUAAACAGAACCCCCCCCAGAGGACACGAGGUCUUGUUAUCCUCUGGCUUCUUAUUGUGGUGAUAGUUGUGAAUGCUUAUCACUUUUUUUUACUCUUCCCUCUUCCCUUGAUGGUGAAUUCACAGGGGAAAUAUAACAGACAACUGACCAUUUUGUCAGUAUAAAACAAAUAUAUAAACACCUUUUUGCUGGUACUGUAGAUAGAAAUCCAUUCCUUUGUCUUCUCAGUCAGUACGUAUUACAGCUGCUGUAAGCACAUUUUAAACAUCAUUUUUUUUAUUUGUAGCUCUUUUAAAAGAACUAUCUUGUUUUUGUUGUAGAUUUUUUACUUAUGUACAUAUAACGGUGUCUUUUCAUGUUGAUUUUUUUCCACAAUGCAAUCAAUUUUAAAUACAUCUAAAAGUCCUUCCGGAGGAGAAAACAAUACACUUACAGACGAGCUGUGUGAGAGCUUGAAAAUGCACUCCACUUAGUUGUGCUUCUAACUAAUUUACUGUGUUUACACAGUAUGGAAUUGUUUGGUUUGUUCUUUGGGUUUCUUUUUAUUUGCUCUGAACUGCCUUAGGGAAAUUACCAGUUCAAAGAGAAUUAGUUUUUUGCAGCUACUAUGAUUUUAGAAAACUAUAAGUGAGUUAUCAACUCUGAGCAACCAAAAAUGUAUCUGCUUUGUCAGUAGAUGGUAUUGGGACCCAGCCAUGGGAUGAAAUAAGGAUUGAACUGUACACAGUGUGUGAAUGUAUUCAAUCUUGCUGGCCUAUGUGAAGGCUACGUUCUUCAAAGAAACCCUGUAUCCAAAAGUAAUUAAGACUAGCUCUCUGAACCUGUUUGUCUGAGGUCCUGUAGAAAAGAAUCUGAUCCAAAGAUUCCCUAAGAAGAGACACGGUCCCUGAUUAUGUCGACAAGGCAUUUUUUCCUCACUCCCCUGAGAGAAGAUGGCAUAGGCACCACGACACACACCUUCCCACUGGCGCCAGUCCGAGCUCCCCCUCCCAGCCAAUACUGAGAGAUUCCCCAGAGAUGGAACCAGUUUGGGGAGUGCCACCACCUACUCCAGGAGCUGCGUCUGGAUGACGGUCGCUUUCAGCGGUACUUCCACCUAUCUAGUUUGAGGACCUGCUGUCCUGUGUUGGGGGACGAAUUAGCCUCUGGGACACCAACUACAGGCUGCAGAACGCCUGUCCAUCUGUUUCGGGACUGCACUGACUGAUUUGCAACGCAGAUUGACAGAAAAGUAGAGAUUUUUCAACUCCAGGGAAAUUCACUUCAGGUUGUGGGUUUCGCUUCGGUCUCGCUUCGUGAAAUUAGCCCUAAUCACACUGUUCGCAUCAUGUCCUUCACAUUACUUCGCUCCUGAACACGCCUCUACACAGGAUUGACAUUUAAAUCAAUCGCUCCUGUCUUUCCAUUCGCGGUCAGUCCGAAUGCACCAUAAGCCUUGAUGAUAGUUUAUUUGUUUUGGGUUGUGUAUUAAAAUUACAACAAACUUUAUUUUAUUGAGUUUAUUUUAUUGAUUUUAAUUGCUGAUGGUCCAUUAACCUGAGCUUGCUCUGCUUUAUUUGUGUUUUACAAUCACCUUCUCACUAACCUGCAUAAAAUAUGGUUUCAUAGUCCUGACAAAUAUGCUUAAUUAUGUCUCCUUUAGCUGCUAAUGCUAAAGCUCUGCCUAUGCUAAGAUGGUAACCACUAUUAGUUCUGCUGUGCUUACAACACAGCUCGUUUUGUUUGUGCUGUGAUUGGCCGCAGCACGCUGCCAGCGCUCAUACACACAUUAAUAUUUGUAUUAAUGAUAACUGAGCCUCUCACUCUGGAUGUGGCAUCAAAUUUUGAUAUACACUAUAUUGCCAAAGGUAUCACAUCAUAUGCAAAUCAGGGCUCACCUGCCUUGACUUGCAUAUAAACUUAAGUGACAUCCCAUUCUUAAUGUAUAAGGUUCAAUAUUACGUUGGUCCACCCUUUGCAGCUAUAACAGCUUCAACUUUUCUGGGAAGGCUGUCCACAAGGUUUCAGGGGAAUUUCUAAUAUUUUUUCCAGGUGCACAUUUGGAAGGUUAUAGACUGAUAUUGGAGGGCUGGCUCUCAGUCUCUUCUCUCAUUCAUCCCAAAGGUGUUCUAUCAGGUUGAGGUCAGGACUCUGUGCAGGCCAGUCAAGCUCAUCCACACCUAACUCUCUCAUCCAUAUCUUUCUGGACCUUGCUUUGUGCUCUGGUACAUGGUCAUGUUGAAAGAGGAAAGGGGCUAUUUCCAAACGUUGGGAGCAUGGAAGUGUCCAAAAUCCCUUUGUAUGCUGAAACAUUCAGAGUUCCUUUUACUAGAACUCAGGAGCCAAGCCCUGCUCCUGAAAAACAACCCUACAGCAAACCACUGCCUCCACAAAAUUUUACACAUGGCACAAUAUAGUCAGAGUAGUACCGCUCUCCUGGCAACCGCCAAACGCAGACUCAUUCAUCAGGUUGCCAGAUGGAGACGCCCAAGUUGUCACUCCAGAGAACAUGCAUCUGCAUCUGACACUUUGCAUUGCACUUGGUGAGGUAUGGCUUUGAUGCAGCUGCUCAACUAUGGGAACCUAUACCAUGAAACUCUCUAUGAACCACAUGAAGAUUGGAGGUCUGUAGUGAUUGACUAUGCAGGAAGUCGGCGAUCUCUGCACAAAAUGGCUAUCAAAUCCGCUGCCCCUGAGCUGUCAGUUUACGUGGCUACCUCACCUCUGUGUGGUUGAGUUGCUGCCAUUCCCAAUUGCUUCCAUUUUCUUACAAUACAACUGACAGUUGAUGGUGGAAAAUUGAGGAAAUUCCAUGACUGGACUUGCUGCACAUGCAUCCUAUUACAGUACCAUGCUAGAAUUCACUGAGCUCCUGAGAGUGACCCAUUCUUUCAGAAAUGUCUGUAGGAACAGUCUGCAUGCCUAGGUGCUUAAUUUUAUUACAGCUGUGUAAGUGAUUGGUACACAUGAUUUCAAUUAUUUGGAUGGGUAUGCGAAUACUUAUGGCAAUAUAAUGUAUCUAUAUCCAUUCGUUUGUCAGCCACUGUGAUUAAGAAUCAGUUGUCCAAACGGCAAUUGAUCUCCCAUUCAGCAAAUUAUUUUUGAACAUCAUUUUAUUAAAAUAUUUUA